rnacentral:rRNA from 1 species
ACGAACGCUGGCGGCGUGCUUAACACAUGCAAGUCGAACGCUGAAGCUUGGUGCUUGCACUGGGUGGAUGAGUGGCGAACGGGUGGGUAAUACGUGAGUAACCUGCCCUUGACUCUGGGAUAAGCCUGGAAACCGGGGUCUAUUCUUGAAUACACCUGGUCACCGCUUGGUGGUUUGUGGAAGGGGUUUUCUGGUUUUGGAUGGGCUCACGGCCUAUCAGCUUGUUGGUGGGGUAAUGGCUCACCAAGGCGACGACGGGUAGCCGGCCUGAGAGGGUGACCGGCCACACUGGGACUGAGACACGGCCCAGACUCCUACGGGAGGCAGCAGUGGGGAAUAUUGCACAAUGGGCGGAAGCCUGAUGCAGCGACGCCGCGUGAGGGAUGACGGCCUUCGGGUUGUAAACCUCUUUCAGCACGGAAGAAGCGAAAGUGACGGUACGUGCAGAAGAAGCGCCGGCUAACUACGUG